ACAUGCAGGAAACCUGGCCUGUGGCUGGCAGCUCAUGGAGGAAGCAGGGAAGGGCUCUGGCUGAAUUUCACCUACAUGUGGCUGGCUGUGUGUUGGGUCCUGGAGGGUCCCCCUGGAAGCUGCAGGACACCAGAGCCCCCAUGCCAGCACUUGCCGGCCACUCAUCGCAGGCUCCUGCUCGCCAGCCAUGGGGCUGCAGCUGGCUGUCCCUGCCACAGCCAGAUGCCAUGCCCAGCUCCUCAGCCCAUUGGAAAAACCCCUCUGUGGCAGGGCUGCAGUGCUGUUAACUUUGGGUGGGGUGGGGUGUUGGGGUGCAGGGUUGGUGUCAAAAUACAAGUUCACCCAGUGCCCCAUUUUCCCUAAUUCCAGCUCUGUGUUUUCUGGUGAUUUCUUUGACAAAAAUCUGAUCCAGUUCCUCAGAGGGUGGAGGGAAGGAGUACAUGGAGGUCCUGAGGUCAUGUUUCUGUUCCUGCAAUUCUUUAAAAUUAUUUCCUUGGAGCUCCUUUCCUUUGCUACUUUGAGCAGGAAUCACAGAUCCCUGACUUGAUUUGCUACAAGUUCACAGAUUUACAUGUUACAGUGACUGCUCUUAAAACAGGAUUUAACGUUCUUUCUCUUUAGAAAGCAAGAAAAUCCAUGACCUCUGUGCAGCUCCAUGUAGAACCAGGAUGCUUGGUUGCUACAAUGCUGGUAGAGUGUGGAGUAGGGUCUGCAAUUCCAGGAACACAAACUGUGGUCACAAAUGGAGUCUUUUCAUCUGCUUGCUGGCAUUGCAGGCAGCUGGUCAACCUAACCCCAGAGCAGUAGAGUGGAAGCAGGUGAAGAAACAGGCUGUUUCCAGUGUGAAGUACGCAGUGGCAUUGGGAGGACUGCCAGGAGUGAAAAAGUUUGUGAUUUUAAGUCACAAUAACUUGAUUUUAAAACUUACAGUGGCAGGCACAGAGCUAUGAGGAGAGACUUACCUUGGAUGAGGGAUGAGCAGAGCUGGCAGGAUGCUGUGCUGAACUGGGAGCGUGGUGAAAGUGAAACCAUGGAACGAGACGAUGCCACGUCAAAGAGAAAAAAAAGGAACCGUGGAGCCGGGAGGAGCCAGGACUGGCUCUCGCGCCGGCAUGGGCACACUUUAUGGUGGUGUGCUGGCGCUGAUUCACUGGCCAGUCCCUUGGAGCCGGGAUAAAAAGCCCAGCGGAAGAGAGGUGCGGGGGACCAGAAGUAGAUUCCCCGGUGGGCCUGAAGCAGGACCGAGCCCCACUGAGGGAAGUGGUGGCUGCCCUGGAAAGGGGCAUAUGAAGAUAAGCCAAGCCCUAGAGGGCUGAAGGACUCACCCAAAGAGAUGCCAUUGACUCCAGACAUCUCCAGACAGGAUUGGACCCAGUAGGAACCUGAGGAGAGAAGGAGGGAUAGAUGUCUAUACCACAGCAAGCACAGACC